ACAGCCUCAACCUUCUUGGUUUCUUGACCAGGAAAGGCUUGGACUUUGGAGGUUGUCCUUGCUGGUUUGCCAGCUCCUCCUAAAUGAAUUAGUGGGGUCUGCUUUGCUGAUCCUUGACGUGAUAAGUAUGCUUCUACGUCUUGGGUUUUGCACUGUUGCCCUGGAACCUGCUUCCAACGGUCUUCAUUUCAAAGACGACGUUCGAGUUGCUUUUGUGACUUGACCUCAGUGA
rnacentral:misc_RNA from 1 species